UGCUUGUCUGACUGAGAAUAAGAGGCAUCAUUGAAGGGGUGGCCAUUAUUGCUGUGGGACAUCAAACGCUACUUCCAAUUGCACCGUGUGUACCAUCUGUAAAACCACCAGUCACAAUCCCUUCUUUGCCAGCUGCACAGAGGCCACCCAGUCAACAGGGAUCCUGCUGGGCACUCUGAACUCACAUUCCUGCAUCAGAGGCUUCAAUAGAGUAUAUUGAAAGGCAGGCAGCAAAAGCAGAGGUGAGUAUCCUCCAUUCACCUUGGUAAUGUAUUCUUUUCUACUUGUGUUUUGGUUUGGACAUUUUGUUGAGCUCAUUAUUGCCUCUUUGAGAUAACGCAGUUAUCAGAACUAUCUCUGUUGUGGUGUACCAGGGUGAUGGAAGGGUAUCUCCUUGAAAACAUUUACAAAGGCAGUCCAGCAUCUGAAAAUAGAUGCUUCCUGUUUAGUAACAGCUGCAAGUUACACUAAAUCUUCCAUUUUACCAAAGCGUAUCUGCCUAAGCUAGGAAUCUGUAAAUAUUUCAAAUAAAUAUAUAGGGUAGGCUCGAGCA
rnacentral:lncRNA from 1 species